CAAUACGCCCACUAAUACAUUAAUCUUCAUCCUCGAAUUAGACUUCAUCUAUUGCAAAAGUUCAUUCAUUAUAAGAAAUAUGUAUGAGAAAUAUAGGAUUUCAAUCUCCUUUUUGGAUGUUGCAUUGAUGUAGAGCUCUCUUGCAGCUCUCCCACCGCUUCUUCAAAUCUGAGAAGGCACCUUUAUGGGCUUUGCAAUGGAGUCGACCAUUGAUGCGGGGUCGGCCAUGGCGGGCUCUGCUACUGCAAUGGAGUCGAUCGUGGCGGGCUCCAUUGUUGCUGUGGUAGGCUUUGCUAUUGCAGUGGAGUUGCCAGCCAAUGCAAGAUCGGCAGUGGCGGGUUCUGUUGCUACAGUGGCGUCAAUUUGUGUAUUUUGAUAUUUUAUAGAUUUGGAGUGAGGUGGCUUACUAUGUGUUCUCCCACUCCAUGAUGUAUCAAAAUAUGGUUGUUGUAGAAGGUUUGGUGAUUUUGAGUAGAUCAGCAAUGCUUGAAUUGUUGUAGAAUAGGUUUCUUGUUUUGAAUUGAGAGAAAUAGGAUACAUGCCUAGUUGAGAUAGGCACUGAAAAUGUUUCUCUUUGGGAAGAGAUUUUGUAAAUAUAUUUGCUGUCAUAUGUGUGGUUGAUACAUAUUAUAAUUUAAUUUCCUUGGCAAGUA